rnacentral:rRNA from 1 species
UACGGGGGGGGCAAGCGUUGUUCGGAAUUACUGGGCGUAAAGGGCUCGUAGGCGGCCAACUAAGUCAGACGUGAAAUCCCCCGGCUUAACCUGGGAACUGCGUCUGAUACUGGGAGGCUUAAGUAUGGGAGAGGGAUGUAGAAUUCCAGGUGUAGCGGUGAAAUGCGUAGAUAUCUGGAGGAAUACCGGUGGCGAAGGCGGCAUCCUGGACCAUAACUGACGCUGAGGCGCGAAAGCUAGGGGAGCAAACGGG